rnacentral:rRNA from 1 species
GACGAACGCUGGCGGCGUGCUUAACACAUGCAAGUCGAACGGUGAAGCUCCAGCUUGCUGGAGUGGAUCAGUGGCGAACGGGUGAGUAACACGUGAGCAACCUGCCCCAGACUCUGGAAUAAGCGCUGGAAACGGCGUCUAAUACUGGAUACGAGAUCAAGCCGCAUGGUUAUGGUCUGGAAAGUUUUUCGGUUUGGGAUGGGCUCGCGGCCUAUCAGCUUGUUGGUGAGGUAAUGGCUCACCAAGGCGACGACGGGUAGCCGGCCUGAGAGGGCGACCGGCCACACUGGGACUGAGACACGGCCCAGACUCCUACGGGAGACAGCAGUGGGGAAUAUUGCACAAUGGGCGAAAGCCUGAUGCAGCGACGCCGCGUGAGGGAUGACGGCCUUCGGGUUGUAAACCUCUUUCAGCAGGGAAGAAGCGAAAGUGACGGUACCUGCAGAAGAAGCACCGGCUAACUACGUG